rnacentral:rRNA from 1 species
UACGUAGGGGGCAAGCGUUGUCCGGAUUUAUUGGGCGUAAAGAGCGUGUAGGCGGUCAGGUAGGUCGGUUGUGAAAACUGGAGGCUCAACCUUCAGAGGUCGACCGAAACCCCCUGGCUAGAGUCCGGGAGAGGAGAGUGGAAUUCCUGGUGUAGCGGUGAAAUGCGCAGAUAUCAGGAAGAACACCCGUGGUGAAAGCGGCUCUCUGGAACGGUACUGACGCUGAGACGCGAAAGCGUGGGGAGCGAACAGG